UACGAAGGGGGCUAGCGUUGCUCGGAAUCACUGGGCGUAAAGCGCACGUAGGCGGACUCUUAAGUCAGGGGUGAAAUCCUGGAGCUCAACUCCAGAACUGCCUUUGAUACUGGGAGUCUUGAGUUCGGGAGAGGUGAGUGGAACUGCGAGUGUAGAGGUGAAAUUCGUAGAUAUUCGCAAGAACACCAGUGGCGAAGGCGGCUCACUGGCCCGAUACUGACGCUGGAGGUGCGAAAACGUGGGGGACAACGGGAUUAA
rnacentral:rRNA from 1 species